UGCGCGCGCGCGCGCCCCUGCCGCGUGCAGCCGUCGCCGUCGCCGCCGCCGCGCGCCCCUCAGCUGGCCGGGCCCGUUCUCGCGACGCCUUUCGCACUCUCUCGGCCCGACUCACCUCCUCCUCCGCCGCCGGCCGGGCCCGGCUGCUGGUCCUGACGCGGCGGCUGGGGUGUCGGCAGCGGUGGCGGCGACACGCGCUGGUAGAGCGGCGGCGGAGGGGGCGGCUGCGGCGGCGGGAUUUGAUACAUACAAAAGGAUGUGUGCGCCUUAGGUGAGCUAGAAACGGAGUUAUAAAUGGAGCACCGUGAAGCUACCACCCAGCCUGAGCGCCAAGAUAUCGCCAAUACCUUCUGCAAACUCCUGGGGUCCUCUUACCCACCCUCGCUCCCCUCACAGGGAUCAGCAUUUUGCAUUUUGUGCUUUUUCUUCUUCUGGCCUCCUAGUGGAGUUUUAUCACAUGUGUAUCACCAAACAAUACAUAGUGCAGUUUUACUGUAAUACUGUAUGUAGUUCUAUGCAAUCUGUUGUUUUAAUACAUCUCUAAGACGCA